rnacentral:rRNA from 1 species
GACAGAGGGUGCACACGUUGUUCGGAAUUACUGGGCGUAAAGCGCGUGUAGGCGGCUUGGCAAGUCGGGUGUGAAAGCCCCGGGCUCAACCUGGGAAGUGCACUCGAAACUGCUUCGCUGGAGUGCCGGAGAGGGAAGCGGAAUUCUCGGUGUAGAGGUGAAAUUCGUAGAUAUCAGGAGGAACACCUGCGGUGUAGACAGCUUUCUGGACCACUUCUGACGCUGAGACACGAAAGCGUGGGUAGCAAACAGG